UGCAGUCGAACGGCAGCACAGGAGAGCUUGCUCUCUGGGUGGCGAGUGGCGGACGGGUGAGGAAUAUAUCGGAAUCUACCCUUUCGUGGGGGAUAACGUAGGGAAACUUACGCUAAUACCGCAUACGAACUGAGGUUGAAAGCGGCGGACCGCAAGGCGUCGCGCGGAUGGAUGAGCCGAUAUCCGAUUAGCUAGUUGGCGGGGUAAAGGCCCACCAAGGCAACGAUCGGUAGCUGGUCUGAGAGGAUGAUCAGCCACACUGGAACUGAGACACGGUCCAGACUCCUACGGGAGGCAGCAGUGGGGAAUAUUGGACAAUGGGCGCAAGCCUGAUCCAGCCAUGCCGCGUGUGUGAAGAAGGCCUUCGGGUUGUAAAGCACUUUUGUUGGGAAAGAAAAGCGGUCGGUUAAUACGCGGUGGUUCUGACGGUACCCAAAGAAUAAGCACCGGCUAACUUCGUGCCAGCAGCCGCGGUAAUACGAAGGGUGCAAGCGUUACUCGGAAUUACUGGGCGUAAAGCGUGCGUAGGUGGUUCGUUAAGUCAGAUGUGAAAGCCCCGGGCUCAACCUGGGAAUUGCAUUUGAUACUGGCAGACUAGAGUGCGGUAGAGGAGAGUGGAAUUCCCGGUGUAGCAGUGAAAUGCGUAGAGAUCGGGAGGAACAUCAGUUGCGAAGGCGGCUCUCUGAACCAGCACUGACAC
rnacentral:rRNA from 1 species